AGAGUUUGAUCAUGGCUCAGAAUCAACGCUGGCGGCGUGCCUCAGACAUGCAAGUCGAACGCGAAAGUUCCCUUCGGGGAGCGAGUAGAGUGGCGCACGGGUGAGUAACACGUAGGUAAUCUACCUUUGGAUGGGGAAUAACAACCGGAAACGGUUGCUAAUACCGCAUAAUGCAGCGGCACCUAAUGGUGACAGUUGUUAAAGCGGGGGAUCGUAAGACCUCGCGUCUAAAGAGGAGCCUGCGGCGGAUUAGCUAGUUGGUAAGGUAACGGCUUACCAAGGCGAUGAUCCGUAACCGGCCUGAGAGGGCGGUCGGUCACACUGACACUGACAUACGGGUCAGACUCCUACGGGAGGCAGCAGUCGGGAAUUUUGGGCAAUGGGCGAAAGCCUGACCCAGCAACGCCGCGUGAAGGAUGAAAUCCCUCGGGAUGUAAACUUCGCAAGAACGGGAAGAAUAAGUUGGUGUGAAUAUCACCAGCGAUGACGGUACCGUUUGUAAGCUCCGGCUAACUCCGUGCCAGCCGCCGCGGUAAUUC
rnacentral:rRNA from 1 species